rnacentral:rRNA from 1 species
UACGUAGGGUGCGAGCGUUAAUCGGAAUUACUGGGCGUAAAGCGUGCGCAGGCGGUGAUGUAAGUCAGAUGUGAAAUCCCCGGGCUCAACCUGGGAACUGCAUUUGUGACUGCAUCGCUGGAGUACGGCAGAGGGGGAUGGAAUUCCGCGUGUAGCAGUGAAAUGCGUAGAUAUGCGGAGGAACACCGAUGGCGAAGGCAAUCCCCUGGGCCUGUACUGACGCUCAUGCACGAAAGCGUGGGGAGCAAACAGG